rnacentral:piRNA from 1 species
UGCUUGAAUCUUAGGUAGAUGCAGC